GGGAAACCAGAUUCACCUAACAAUCGUGUUACUAAUUUGACAACUGCAAUCAUUCACAACUGUGGCAAGAAAGAUCAUAAAUGGGGCAAAAUUCACUUAAAGUGUGUUUCACUUCAUUUGUUGUCAUAAAUCAAGGAUUACCUGUAACUGCAUCUGCCACUUUCUAUCAUUUUGUAAAGUCAAUCUGUAUGUCCACUUAGGACUAUAGUGUAGAUGACAUUAUUUAGGUACUUUCUGU